rnacentral:rRNA from 1 species
GACGAACGCUGGCGGCGUGCUUAACACAUGCAAGUCGAACGGAGCGAAUGAAAGCUUGCUUUUAUGAGCUUAGUGGCAAACGGGUGAGUAACACGUAGACAACCUGCCGAUCAGAUGGGGACAACAUUCCGAAAGGAAUGCUAAUACCGAAUGAAGUGUGGGGGAGGCAUCUUCCCUACAUGAAAGAUGGCCUCUAUAUAUAAGCUAUCACUGAUCGAUGGGUCUGCGUCUGAUUAGCUAGUAGGUAAGGUAACGGCUUACCUAGGCGACGAUCAGUAGCCGGUCUGAGAGGAUGAACGGCCACAUUGGGACUGAGACACGGCCCAGACUCCUACGGGAGGCAGCAGUGGGGAAUCUUCCGCAAUGGGCGCAAGCCUGACGGAGCAACGCCGCGUGAGUGAAGAAGGUCUUCGGAUCGUAAAGCUCUGUUGAAGGGGACGAACGUACAUAAGUUGAAUAAGCUUAUGUAAUGACG